rnacentral:misc_RNA from 1 species
UUAAGUUCAGCGGGUAGUCCUACCUGAUUUCAGGCCAAAGUUUAAAAUGUUGUCCAUGCGGACGAUUAGAAGCAGCACUCCCGAAGAGGCAUAAGGCGACGGCGCAGAUAAUUAUCACACCAAUGCCGAGCACUCUAAUAAGCGCAAGCUAAUGCAUUUCAGGACGAGCUGACUACAGCACAGUCCAAAUCCACAACUUG